rnacentral:tRNA from 1 species
GCCUGGGUGGCUCAAUCGGUUGAGCGUCCGACUUUGGCUCAGGUCAUGAUCUCGUGGUUUGUGAGUUCGAGCCCCGCAUCAGGCU